GGGUGAACUGGACUUACUUGUUUGCAACUCUGCAGCACAUGGGAUUUGUCCCACACAUGCGAGCAUGGAUGUCAUCACGCUACACGACCACAUCAGCACGCAUUCGGAUCAACGGGGUCCUGUCCCCCCAUUCCCUAUUAGAAAUGUCCCCUCUCCUGUUUGCCUUCUCUCUGGAACCACCUCUGGAGGCGGUCAGAAGGGAC